UAUAUAUUACAGAUAAACUUCAAAAAUACUUAUCUUCCAUCUAGCAAUCCAGUAUCAGACUCUCUUAAAUUAUUUGCUGAAAAUGAAAUGAUGCUUACCGUAUCAUGGCAAUGAUAGCGAGACGAAACUUGGCGUAAGUUAUUUCCUUUGGGAAAAUAAAAUUACCCGAAGACACUUGCCUUUGUACAUACGCAACAUAAUAUUUGUACAUAGGUAAACUGAACAAGAAUAGAAAAGAAAAAACAUUCAAAAGAGAUAGGGCGAGAAAAUUAAAUAAUGGACAAACGUAGCUACUAAUGCUUCGGCAAAUUUUCAUUAAAAAGUACCUCGACGUUAUGAAAAGCCGAAUGUAAUCUUUUAGAACGGCAUGAGAUAUUGCAUAUGAUCCAAACCAUACAAUCCUGUUUUCAAUGCCAUCAUAAUGCUUUUUCGUAGCACAAGAGGAGCAAGGUCUACAAUACACUAAAUAAU